rnacentral:lncRNA from 1 species
AAUUCUGUCUGGACACAAAGGAAAAAUCGGAAUUGGCAGAUACUCUCUCGGUUACUCCCUGGUUGCAGUUAAUGAGCAGCCUGUUCGCCUGCAGCCUUUAGACAGGGAACAAGGGGCACAGCUUUUCCCACUUUAUUGGUUACUGACUGGCAAAGAAGGAUUCCACUAGCACUGCUUGGCUAUCAAAGCUGGGCAAUGUGAUCCUCUAAGCCACAUGUUUAGGAAUUGACAAACAAUUGUGGAGGUUGGCAAUUCCAAAAUCUGAGGAGUAGGUAAACUGGAAGACUAGAGACCCUGGGAAGAGUUGAUGUUACAGCUUGAAUCUGAAGGCAGCCUGCUGGAAGAAUCCCCUCUUUCUUGUAGAAGCCCCUUGACUGGGCAAACUUCAAACAAGUGACUGAGCUCCCUUAGCUGCCACUGAUUGGACCAGGAUGGACAACAAAUGUAGGAGGAGUUCAUCUGGAUCUAGCCUGAGCCAGUCAGAUGUCCCGUUUGAAUCCAUGCCUAUAGAAAUACAAAAAGUGGAAGCCAGAGGAUGAUGGAUCCUUGAAGUAAUAAGUCAGGUAAAUCUUGAAAAUUUUUGACUCAAUCCAUAUUGAUGAACACAAGAAUAAUUCUGGUCUAC